GCCGCAAGCGCGCCGGUCUGUUUACUGCUCGAGCUUGAAGAGCUCGCGCAGUUUCAAGGCGACGGCGGCAUCGGUGUUGCGGCCGAUCUGCGGCAC
rnacentral:tRNA from 1 species